AACCUUUAUUGAACACUUCCUGUGCAUUAUUCUGUAAAACACUUUACGUAUUGCAUUAUCUCCUUUCAGCAUAAAAACCAUCUUACAUAGGAGGUACUGUAAAUUCCUAUUUACAGAUCAAAAGUUGAAGUUUACCAUUUAACUUGCUCCAAAUUAUACAAUGAGCAGUUAAAAUCCAGCUCUAUUUCCUGAUGUUUGCUUGUCAAAGCCAAAUUUCUCAGAUCUUUGAGAAAAACAAUACUGGCUUAUAAAACUGGCAGGAGGCUUUGGGUAAAAUAAAGAGAUUUACGGUUACUUUGCCCUCAUGAUUAAAUCACUCUCAGAAGUGGGAAGUUAAGGGGUUAGUUAGGAAGAACUCUGUCUAAAGUUUAGCCAAGCUGAAGGUAAGUUUAAGAUUCUCUUGGUCACCCAAAUAACCUCUGAUAUUCAAAGAAAUUAACUCUCCUUUAGUGACAAGUGCAAAUAAUUUCAACAACUGUAUUUCACUUUAUAAUUCAGUACAUUUUUACAGCACUAGCAAUCUAUAUUUGUUAUAGAAAAUUAACAACUGAGUUUCAGAAAAGCUAUAUUUAGGCUAGUUAUUUAUAUAUGUUAUGCAAAUGAGUUACCUACUUUUUACAAUAAUGAUUUUUUAAAUUUUGUUCUUUGUAAAUAACAACACUCUGGAAUUUUGCUCUAAAUUUCUAUUCGACAUUUAUCAGUGCUUUGUAAUUUAAGCAAUGCCCUGCUAUAGCAUAUGAAUUGUUUGCAACCUAAAAUAAAAAUGCAUACAUGCCACAUACAAGAACAAAAAGUUUUAUUUCUUCAUAAUAAUGCAAAUGGUCCCCAACUUACAAUUUUUUGACUUUGCAAUGGUAUUAAAGUCAUACAUGUUCAGUAGGAACUGGACUUUGAAUUUUGAAUUUUGGUCUUUUUCCCAGCUAGCCAUAUGCUGCAGCUCUGAAACUAACAGCACUAAUGGCCUGAACCUAGCCAGAACACAUAUUGGGACUUGAACCCACGUCUCAGGACUUGAACCCAGCCUAAAGCCACAUUGGGACUUGAACCCACAUGCUGAGACUCAAACCCAGCCAAAACCCAGAUUAGGACUUGAGCCCAUGUGCCAGUACUCAAACCCAACCUAAAGCCAGAUUGAGACAUAAACCCUCAGUUUUAAAUUAAAAUCACUCACCCAGUGUCUGGACCCACUGAGGUUCAGGUUCUUCAUGCCUCCACACAGAAAGAAUUCAGUGAGAGACAAAGUGACAGGCAAGAAAUAGAUUUAUUAGGAUAGGAUGUUUGUGAGAGAUUCAAGUGGGCAGGCAAGGAGGCUUUGCCCACUGGAUCCAGGGGGCUACAGUUUUAUCAUCCAAAGGGAGUGGGAGUUGGAAAGCCCACCUCUUCCUUUCUGGGAGUAGUUGUUCCUCUUUGGUAUCUGGUAAGGUGUGUAUUCAAAUCAGCAGAAGGGCCAAACUCAAAACUCCUGCCCUUGGCCUGAAUCUGAAUGCAGGCCUCAUCCCAUCCCCCAUCCAGCGACCUGAGGCAAUUCUCACACCUCCACUAGUUAAGAAAGCCUCCCUUGUUCUGAUGGCUUUUUGAGCAAUUUAUUAACUUACAGUGAUCUCCCAAAGUCCCUUAAGUUUCCCUCAUUAUCUAUGGUCCCUAUUGGGACUUCUACAACUACCUGUGGCUACUCCAUCCCUAUCAACUCCAUCAACCAUGUGGUCACAAGGGAGAACAGCUGAUUCACUUAGAACGAUUCUGGACCCAGACAGCCAUUCUCUUUUUCACUUUCAGUACACUAUUAAAUAAACUAUAUGAGAUAUUCAGUACUUUAUUCUAAAGUAGGCUAGUGUUGAUGAUUUCGCCCAACUGUAGGGUACUGUGUUAUGAGCACCUUUAAAGUGAACUAGGCUAAGUGUGAUGUUCCAUAGGUUUGCAUUUGCAUUUUCACCUUAUGAUAUUUCCAACUUAGGAUGAGUUUCUAAGGCUGUAAUACAAUGGGUAAGUUGAGGAAGAUCUGUAAUAACAUGUUAUUAUUAUAUUAUAGUAUUAAAUAUAACUGUAAGUAUUUAAAUUUAAUCCUCUCAAAAACCCAAAGAGGAAGGUACAAUUUUCAUCUCUAUAUUUGAGAAGAGAAAAUUUAAUCAUAGAGAUACUAAGUUACACAUCUAGGGCCACACAGCUAGCAAAUAUUCUUUUUUUUUUUUUUUUUUGUCUUUUUGCCUUUUCUAGGGCUACUCCCACGCCUGGGAGCUUCCAUAUGCCAUGGGUGCAUACCCUAAAAGGCAAAAAUAAAUAAAUAAAUAAAUAUUAAAAAAAUAAAACGUAUGUGAAAAUUUAUUUCCUACAAUCAUCUGAAAUGUCCACCUCCUCCAAAAAUUACCUAUUUAGCCGCAGAAGGUAAUAUAAGCUACACUUUCAGAAGUUUAGAGAUAGCAAAGGAACUUUGGUUCAAAAUUGAGAAUAGGGAAUUCCCAUCAUGGCUCAGUGGAUAACAAACCCAACUAACAUCAAUGAGGACGCAGGUUCGAUUCCUGGCCUUGCUCAGGGUUAAGGAUCUGGUGUUGCUGUGAGCUGUGGUGUAGGUCACGGACAUGGCUCAGAUCCCAUAUUACUGUGGCUCUGGCGUAGGCUGGUGGCUACAACUCUGAUUGUACCCGUAGCCUGAGAAUCUCCAUAUGCCACCAGUGUGGCCGUAAAACACACACACACACACACACACACACACACACACACACAAAUGAGAAUAGCAGUUACCACUACAAUAUCUUUUUUUAUUAUUUUACCAUAGACUUGAGAAAUUAAUAAUGAAUAACAAACUUUUUUCCUAAGAAGAGUUUAAUAAUCCAUUAAAAUAUUUUGAUUUCGGGUUUUGUAUGGCUUCCUAAGGAAUUUGGUUAUUACUGGGUAGACUUUGGGGAAUGAUUGAAUUUAGGGGCUAGAUUUCAUUUUCAUAGAGAAGUGUGUUGGCAUUAUUUGUUUCAGGAAGAACACUCUGUCAACAGUAUGUGUGAUAAACCAAGGCGCAGAAGAGACUGGGGGUAAGAAUACCACCUAGAUGAUCAAGAUAGCACAGAUAAUAAGAGGGGUGUCCAGUGCUAAAUCUUUCAAGACGAAAAAGAAUAUGGAAUAAAAAGAACAUCAGGAAGGAUGCUCAUGGAUGCCAGGAUUAAGGGAAAAGAUAGAGAGGGAUAUCAUGGCAAUGAGAUCCCCAGGAGGCUUUUUAGUCACCAAAGGUGGGUUUUGACUUUUAAAGUCAGAAUCUACUUCCAUUGUAUGGAUUAGAUUUUCCUAGUGAUGGAAGGAAAUGAAAUAACCUAAAAAGAUGACACCUACUUUUUUCUGUAAAUGUAUUUAUUCUAAUUGUUGGCAUGCACCUUUGAUUUUCUCAAGAGCUUCCCCCUUCAAUUCCAGAACCCCAAUCAAUGAAGAGUUUUUGGUGCUGACUCUCUUGACAUAAAGUCUUGAAUAAAGCAUGUGACUUCAAUAUCUCCUUAAAAUUGUCUUAACACUGUAUGAUUCUAAAAGUUCCAUAUCAAAUCUCUAUUUUAGUUUUAGAGUUAUUUGAGUUGGUGUCCAAUUUUUUUUUUUCCUUUUUCAAAGUAGGUCAGCCUUAUUAGAUGAUGUAUUUGCAUUUACUUAGGUAAGAUUUCAGAAAGCACUUAAGGUUUAAGCCACAUUAUGAAAGUGUGUUAUGUCUGUUUGUGUCCUUUAAAAACCACAUACUAAUUGUGCAGACCUGAAAUAAUUGAAGGGUAGGUUUUAUAAAUCAUAGUGAAAUAAAUAAGAAUACUUAUACAUUACCUAACAAAAAUACUUAAAUUGAGAAAUACAUCUGUGUUCAAACUUUAGAUUUUUAAAUUGAGGUUCCAAGUGGAUAAUUGAAGCUGUGCACAGUGAUCUAAAAUUAUCUGGUAAAGCCCACAAAAUAAAAUCUCAUCUGCAUAAUUGUGUUGAUACCUUGUCAAUGGGAUUCAAUAACAGCAUUUUUCACUAACUGAAGCAAUCAAAGUCCAGAAGAGGUUGAAAUACAACAUGAAUAAGCAGGUCAGUUGCACAUUAUUAGAAAGAUUUAAGUGCUAUCUAAUUAACACUGAGGAAUUUUAUACUUUUGUAGAAUAGAAUACACUACUGAGAAAUAAAUGGGAGAAAUUCAUGUUAAUGACAUAGAUAUGGGGCCAGUGGAAUGGAUUGAAGUCAAACAACUUUUAAAUGGUGCAUCGUAUGUUUCAAUAGCUUGGGUGUCUAAGGUGGGGGAUUUGGGAUAUGGGUGGAGUUUACAGGAGCUCACCAACACUCUAAGAGUGAGGGGUGAUAAAAAAGCAGAAUGUACUAUUCCUGGUAGUCAUUUGUGGAAUAAUACAGAGCAAAAAAAAAUCAGAGGCCAGUGUCUUUCGCAUGGAUUGCUUCAUAUUCAUUUAGAAUGGCCAGAGUAAGAAUAAAACAAAAUUUACUUACAUUUCUUCUGACAAGUCAAUGUUUUUUUAGGCUAUCUUUCAAUUUUUAGUCAUCACCAGUUUCUAGCAAAGAAGUCUCAGUAGCCUCCACUCUUGGAAUGUUUAAAAUUCUGUGUUUGACCUAUACCUUGAGCUGGCAACCAAAUUCAUCUUCCCUUCCCUGUUUCCUCAUUCAUGCUCACUCUUUCUAGUGACUUUAUAUUGGUGACUCAUUAUGAGCUCCCAAAUAAACAUCACACUUGCUCAUCACUUACCUAACCAAUACAUAAUAAUACAGUCUUUAAUAUAUACCAUCUACUGUGCUAAAUACUUGACAAGUAUUAGUCCAUUUGAUUGUGAAAACAACCUUAGGAGGGAGACAGGUAGUAGCAUAAUUACCCACACUCUAAUGAUAAACACACCAAGGGCUUGGAAGUUGCCCAAUUUUACAUAGCCAGUAAGCAAUUAUUCUCUGACUCCAGAGAUUAUGCUCUUAACCUGAGUAAUUUGUUUUCUUCCAUAUAAACACUCACCCCUUAGAUGCCUUAAAUUAGGAAAUCCUUACUGAGCCCCAAAUUUCACCUAUAUUCUUCUCUGUUACCAGCAUAAAAUGGGAGUGGGAGGUUAAUAAAUCAAAUAUGUUACACGGAGGAUUUUUUUUUUAAAGGAUCAUGUUUUAAAGUUCGUCAUAUAUGUUGCACCCUAAUUUGUCAAUCUUGGGCACAAAUCUUGGGCAAGAUUUGCUCAUUUUGCUUUUUAGUUAAAUUUGAAUUCAACCAAAUUUUUGCAAAACAAAACAAAACAAAACAACCUGAGUUCCCAUUGUGGUGCAGUAGAAAAAAAUCUGACUAGAAACCAUGAGGUUGCUGGUUCGAUCUCUGGCCUCACUCAGUGGGUUAAGGGUCUGGCAUUGCCCUGAGCUUUGUUGUAGGUCACAGAUGCAGUUUAGAUUGGGCAUUGAAUCAGCGGCUACAUCUGAUUCAACCCCUAGCGUGGGAACCUCCGUUCGAUGCAAGUGCAGCCCUAAAAGCAAAAAAAAUAAAGUAACCUCAAAUAAUUUGGGGAUAUACUAUGGCAAUAUUUGAAAACGUCUACAGGACAAUGAAGAGCCAAUUUUGUAGUCCAAGGCUUAAAUUCAUAAUGAAAAUGAAAACCAUGUAUUAUUAGAGAUAUUUCGAUAUUCUCUAGUGGUACAGUGGAUUAAGAAUUUGGCAUUGCUGGGAAUUCCUAUCAUGGCUCAGCAGAAAUGAAUAUGGCUAGUAUCCAUGAGGAUGCAGGUUCAAUCCCUGGCCUGGCUCAGUGGGUUAAGGAUUAGGUGUUACAUGAGCUAUGGUGUAGGUCACAGACAUGGCUCAGAUCUUGUGGUGUUGUGGCUGUGGCAUAGGCUGGCAGCUGCAGCUCCAAUUCAACCCCUAGCCUGGGAUGCUCUGUAUGCCUCAGGUAUGGCCCUAAAAAAUG
rnacentral:lncRNA from 1 species